UCCAAAGAAAGGAGCUUCUUGCUGACAGUGC
rnacentral:piRNA from 1 species